rnacentral:rRNA from 1 species
AAAGCUUGCUUUUGAUGGGCGUCGACCGGCGCACGGGUGAGUAACGCGUAUCCAACCUGCCCACCACUUGGGGAUAACCUUGCGAAAGUAAGACUAAUACCCAAUGAUAUCUCUAGAAGACAUCUGAAAGAGAUUAAAGAUUUAUCGGUGAUGGAUGGGGAUGCGUCUGAUUAGCUUGUUGGCGGGGUAACGGCCCACCAAGGCAACGGUCAGUAGGGGUUCUGAGAGGAAGGUCCCCCACAUUGGAACUGAGACACGGUCCAAACUCCUACGGGAGGCAGCAGUGAGGAAUAUUGGUCAAUGGACGAGAGUCUGAACCAGCCAAGUAGCGUGCAGGAUGACGGCCCUAUGGGUUGUAAACUGCUUUUAUAGGGGAAUAAAGUGAGUCUCGUGAGACUUUUUGCAUGUACCUUAUGAAUAAGGACCGGCUAAUUCCGUGCCAGCAGCCGCGGUAAUACGGAAGGUCCGGGCGUUAUCCGGAUUUAUUGGGUUUAAAGGGAGCGUAGGCCGGAGAUUAAGCGUGUUGUGAAAUGUAGACGCUCAACGUCUGCACUGCAGCGCGAACUGGUUUCCUUGAGUACGCACAAAGUGGGCGGAAUUCGUGGUGUAGCGGUGAAAUGCUUAGAUAUCACGAAGAACUCCGAUUGCGAAGGCAGCUCACUGGAGCGCAACUGACGCUGAAGCUCGAAAGUGCGGGUAUCGAACAGGAUUAGAUACCCUGGUAGUC